GCACAUCUUAUCUCCUUGGAAACAAAUACACAAAACACCAUAUUGAUUGUUUUAUCAGUUGCUAGCAGAUAAGAAUUGGUGCUGACAGUAAUUCAAAGUAUUAGCUCUUUGUGAGGCAAUUUAUUGUGCUUGUGACAAAGCAUAGCCUAGGGAACCUAGAGAUUUAGAGGGUUUUAUUGUAAACCCUUGGAGUCAACACAGUAUCCUGGUCUUUACUGGAGACAGAUCAAGGCUGAAAACAUAACAACCUACUGCACUCACUCUAAGCAUGGUUUGGGAUUCCAACUCUACUCAUCAGGAGACAAAACAGGAAAGAAAUUAUAGAAUGCCUUGAAAUAAUCUAAGAGAUUCAUAGGAAAUUUCCAUUGCAAAGCGGAGUCCUCCAGAUCCAAGAACAUCCAGACUGGAAACUAGAUGGCUUGGAUUGCUUUCUGGAAGGAAGAGAACUUGUAAGGAAGAGAAAUAUCCUGUACACCAUAUAUAAAAGAAGCUCUCUGCACAGGAACUGUCUGGGAGUUUUGUCUUUAUCAAAAAAUGUUCUUCAGCCCCAAGCCUUUACCAUCUAUCUUUCAAAAACUCUUCAAGGAUUUGGUUUUAUUUCCAGCCAAGUCAGAUCACAGGAAUUCCCACUCAUAUUUAUUUCUCUCUCUGUAAGUUCUUCAUGUUCUAUGUGUAAUCUGUCCCCGUGGAUGUUGUAAUGCAGCAACUUUUUUCACGUGAACCAGAAAUUAACCUUUAGUACUUUGGCUCCAGCAGAGAGAUGCUAUUAGUCUUGGUAGCCAUCUGCCUCUCUUGCCCCAUAUUAAAUGUAUUAUCUCCUCA
rnacentral:lncRNA from 1 species